UACAGAGGGUGCAAGCGUUAAUCGGAAUUACUGGGCGUAAAGCGUGCGCAGUCGGUUAUUUAAGUCGGAUGUGAAAUCCCCGGGCUCAACCUGGGAAUUGCAUUCGAUACUGGAUGGCUAGAGUUCGGCAGAGGGAAGUGGAAUUUCAGGUGUAGCGGUGAAAUGCGUAGAUAUUUGAAGGAACAUCAGUGGCGAAAGCGACUUCCUGGACCAGAACUGACGAUCAGGCACGAAAGCGUGGGGAGCAAACAGG
rnacentral:rRNA from 1 species